AGGAAAGGAUACCGAUAUAAUGUAGAGACUGAAUAAAACCUCAACCAAACUGAAGAGUAAAAAAAAAAAAAAAAAAAAAAAAAAAAUUAUCAGGAAUGUUAGUAUAACUCAGGGCAGAAAGACCACUUCAUGAUAGUAGCAACUUCUAAAACGAAUCCAGAAGGAAGCAGAAAUUCAGAGGUUAUAUUCUAAAAUCCAUAUAGCACACCAAUCAUCAUUUCUUAGGAAGGGCGUUAUCUGCUCAUUUCUGCUUGUAUUUUUUUAUAGUUUGUUGGCAUUUUAGGAGAUGACUGAAGCACUCCUUAGCUUAAGCUAGAAGGGACUCAUACAGAAGGUGCAGUUCCUCAAGUUCAGCUUGAAGCUGUUGCUAAGAGUGGGGUCUUUUCUUAGCUUCAGAAGGAGCCCCAAGAGCUGUCAAACUGAAGGAAAAGGGGAAAAACAACGGUACCACAUGUGAAUAUAAAAAAGAAGAGAACUCUAGCCAAUUGCACCACCACCGGAUGGCAGAGCCCAGCUGACACAACCUGGUUUAGGGAGCUUUGGGUUUACUCCUUUUACUUCAGGAAAGCCUCAACCCAGUUACUGCAACUUCUGAAGUAUGGCCUGAAUAGAUUGAGUCAUUAUUAUCAAUCCAUUAUCAAAUAGGACGAUCUGAAGACGCAAACAAGUACACACAAAGAGCAUGCCAUUAGCACUCUGCCCUGACAGCUACAGAAGACAC
rnacentral:lncRNA from 1 species